rnacentral:rRNA from 1 species
GAUAUGUAGAGGUACUCCAGAGGGGGAAAGCGAGGCAGUGGAGCAUCUCGGACGCUGAGACGGGAAUGCGAGGGGAGCAAACGGACUAAGAUACCGCGGUAGUCCACGCAGUAACAUAUGCACACUGGAUCAGGCGAUUCUGACCUUCGCCGAGUGGUAGCGACAGCGUUAAGUGUGUCACGAGGAGCAUACGGCCGCACAGUUAAUACUCAAAGGAAUGGACGGGGGCUCACACAAGCGGAGGAGCAUGUGGUUUAAUUUGAAGCAACGCGAAGAACCUUACCCAGGUCUCACAUGUUUGGAUGCAAUCCGGGGAUAACUCGGUGCGCUGCCCUUCUGGGUGAAACUUGCACAGGUGUGGCAUGGCUGUCGUCAGCUCGUCAUGUGAAGUGUUGGGUUAAGUCCUUUUACGACAGAAACCCCUAUUGUUAGUGGCCAGCGCGCGAUGGCGGGGAUUCUAGCGAGAAGGCCGGCGUUAAGCCGGAGGAAGGUGGGGAGGACGUCAAGUCAUCAUGGCCCUUAUGCUCGGGGAUGCACUCUUGCUACAAUGGAGUAUACAGAUCGACGCAAGACCGAGAGGAGGAGCAAAUCUCACAAAGUACGCCUCAGUUGGGAUUGGAGUUUGCAACUGGACUCCAUGAAGUGGGAAUCGGUGGUAAUCGGAAAUCAGCUGAGACACGGGGAAUGUGUUCGUGACCCUUGUACA